rnacentral:lncRNA from 1 species
CCUUAACCCACUGAGCGAGGCCAGGGAUUGAACCCGCAUCUUCAGGGUUACCAGUCAGGUUUGUUUCCGCUGAGCCACAGUGGGAAUUCCUGUCCUUUCCACUUUUGUACCUACUAUUAAUCCCCCCCCCCUUUUUUUUCCUAGGGCCCACCUGCAGCUUAUGGAGGACCCCAGGCUAGGGGUCUAAUCGGAGCUGUAGCCGCUGGCCUACACCACAGCUCACAGCAGCACUGGAUCCUUAACCCCUGAGCAAGGCCAGGGAUUGAACCCUCAACCCCAUGGUUCCCAGUCGGAUUCGUUAACCACUGAGCCAUGACGGGAACUCCCUAUUUUCCCUUUUUCUGUAUUCCCGUGAAUUUUAUUUAUAUAUUUAUUGGUUUUUUUGUUUAUUUUUUUAAGGGCUGCACCUGUGGCAUAUGGAGGUUCCCAGGCUAGGGGUUGAAUCGGAGCUGCAGCUGCCAGCCUGCACCACAGCCAGAGCAACGGCAGAUCCGAGCUGCGUUUGUGACUUACACCGCAGCUCGCGGCAACACCGGAUCCUUAACCCACUGAGCAGGGCCAGGGAUGGAACCCGAAACUUCAUGGUUCCUAAUCAGAUUCGUUUCCACUGUGCCACAACGGGAACUCCAAGACUUCCUGUGAAUUUUAAACAUAAAAACGUGUGCUGGUUCUGCAGCUUGGUAUCCUGCAUUUUUACUGAUAGAAAACAUGUUCUCACCUAAUUAAAAAUGAACUGUCUGUUUGCCUGUUAACCUCUUUGUGGUAUUCCACCCUGUGAAUCAUUGCUUAUCCAACAAUAAGGAAAUCAUUUUUUUGUUCCUGCUUUUUGAUGAUAAAAUUACCUGUGUUCCCAUUAGUGUGCAUUGUCUGCAUUUCACAUGACCGCUGGGAUAGAGUCCCAGAAGUGAGUCUUGCUCCUUGACCGUGCUCCCGGCCCCCGUCAGCUCUGAUCUGCCCUGUCCCAAGGUGACGGUGGUGAACCUCCGAGAGCCUCUGUCCUUGGUGCAAGUUUACUGGUGGUGAAGAUCCAGGCCCUGUUUUAUGAAUGAGGCAACUCUGAUUGAUGGCUGAUGGGCUGAUAGAAUUGCUCUCAGCUCUCACCUCCUGUUGAAGUUUGGGGGACCGUUCUCCCGGGCCCUGGGGUCCACAGGAUGCGGAGAUGCCUUUGGAUUCCUUCUCUCCUUCUCUGGGGCCCGUGUGCUGGCCCAUGGGCCUGAAUGCCUGAACCCACCAUUGCUGGUUCCCACUUCCCUGCCUUUGCCUGAGCUACUCUCUUCCCCCGCCUGUGUCCCCUCAGCUGAUUCCUGCACAUCUUUAAGGCCUAGCACAGCUGACACCUCUUCUGGGACACCUUCCCAGCAUCUCCAGGGCAGAGGAGCUUCCGCCAGCCAGGCUGCUCUCUGUUCCUUCAGCCUCACUUUACUUAGUCCUGUUUUGUUCUGUAUGUCUUGCUGUUACUGUGAACCCCUCCAGGUCAGGGCCUGGGUCUUGGUCAUUCCUAAUGCCCAGCUUGGGUUCUUUCUGGCCCUGGAACACUGGCAGAUCACGGCUGGGUUCCGUUCACUCUCACAGGGCAGACUCUUGUUCCCGGAGCCACACGUAAGAGACUGGUUUGUUUUAACCCACACGGCAGGGCCUGCUUUGUUCGUGUUCUGGGCUGGGUGUUUUCCGUGUGGCAGAAGAGAGGGAUGCUGAAUUCUGGGGGCACGGCGUGGAUUUGCUGUAGUGGAGGGAGAGGGCACACUCAGGUGAGCGCCACAGGCUACCUGGUUAGGAAUCUGCACGUAGCCUGAUCAGUGGAAACAGAGACUAGAAGAUACUAGAAAAGUCUGCAUUAUAGGGCAGGUGUUCACAGUUUGAUUUUGCUUUAGUGAAUAGAAGUGUCGGAAUAGUUGAAAGCAAAAUCUAAAAGUGAUUCAUUGUUCAUGGAAACUAUUGGAAAGGGGUUAGUCUUAAAUUCAUAUAGAUUAAAGCAUCAAUUAAAGAAACGAGAUAGCAUGGGAAGGGAACAUUUAUUAGUUAAGGAGCAAAGUUCUCAGCCGUUGCAGCACAAUAGACUUGUCCAGGAAACUUUAAAGAAGUUGUCCGGGCACUGCCAUCUGAGAUCAGCUUCAGGUGAAAUCUGGGCAUUAGGAUUUUUAAAAAGCUCCCUAGGUGAUUCUGGUUCGCAGCCAGGAUUGAGAACCUCCAGCGGAAAGCACGGUCUCAAGACCAGAUCCAAGCCUUUCAGUUUACUGUGUGACCUUAGGCCAGGUCAUGUCUCUGAAUUUCCUCAUCUUGAGCAAAGCCAAACGUAAGCCCCUCGAGGGUGGGGACCCCUGUCUCUGGUCAUCGCUGAUUACAUGCCUUGCACUUGGCACGUGGCUCAGAUGUGGUCAGUGCUCAGCAUGUGCUUGUCGAAUGAAAAACAUAACGUGUGUGGAUGGGGUUAGGGUUAAAGGCGCUUGGCCUGAUGUAAUGAUUAAAAUGCUCGUAGCACUUGCACACCCACUGGCUGAGAGGCGCUGCCUCUGUUCCACCAAGAAAACCGAAAGGUUCCUUCCGUACCCAAAGUCAGGCAGCUGGUUCCACAGCUGGGAUUUGAGCCCAGAUGUGCCUGACGCUGCACCCUGCAUGUAUUUUCUCCACUUAGGUCACAUCAAUUUCCGUGCGGUCCUUGAAGUUGACAAAACAUAACCAUUUCAUCCUGCUCCUGGACCACUCGUGGGUGAUUCGUGACGCUUACAGACUUAUGGACGGGCAGCCCUGCUUUCUGGAACUCUUUUCUUUGGUAGUCAGUUGGCGAUUCGGCAUCAGUUUGUAUGUUUUUCCUUGGCCGUCUUCCAUGGGCAUUUCACCCUGCCUCCUCCUCUCCUUGUGAAACCCUAAGCUGAUGAUAGAGAAUGCAGGCCUGUUUAACUUUUCCUUCCUGUAUUUAAAUGUUGGGAGUGUUUGAAGGAGAUUUCAAGGAGGCUGUGACUCUGGAGAACACUGGCUUUUGUUUUGGGCUCUGCCUUAUCAGUGAGAGGCACACAGGCGGGAGUGCGUUUCAGGGUUAGUUAAUGAGUGACCGGUUAAUGCAGCACAGCCAGCAGGUUUUAUGCCAGGCCUCCGAAGGGUAUGAAGGCCAAAUAAGAGGAGUGGGGGGUGAUUUAUAAAUCACUAAACUGCAGUCCCUAGCUCUCUAUCAAACGGCAGGGCGAAAGCGCUCUGGGGGCACGGAGGAGGGACUAGGAGGGCAGGGGGCCAUCUGCCCAGGAGGCUCCAGAGGACAGCGCUUUGAGCUGAGCGGGGGGAGAGUGUCCCCGGGCCCCAGUCAUGCCCCUUCUCCAUCAGCGCCUCGCUCCCCAAGGGCACCUCCUGUUCUGACUCUGUCACCGUCAAUGAGCGGUGCUUGUUUUUGAACUUGAGAUAAAUGGAGUCACACAGCAUGUGCUCUUGUGUCUGGUUUUCUCUGCUCAGCUUUGUCCGAGGUUCACCCAGGUGGCCAUUGGGUGGCGGCAUCCUUCAUUUUCUCUCAUCCGGUGUGCUUUUCCGUUGUGUCAGUAUACCCCUCUUGUUCUGUGGAUGCAGGUUUGGUUUCUUCUGCUGUUGACCCCCGGGGACAGUGCUAAUCGUGGGGUCUUUCAGGGCGCGCGUGCCUCGGGGCGGAAUUGCUGUGUCUGCUCUGGCGGACACUGCGGAGGGGUUUCCAUCGGGGUUGUACCCAUACACACGCCAGAUGGCAACGUGUAGGGUUGCUUGCUGUGUGUGCUGUUACAUCCUGUCCAAAACUUGGUCUUGUCAGUUUUAUGGUGUUUGCUUUCUUUUUGCCAUUCUGGUGAUAGG